rnacentral:rRNA from 1 species
CAGUCGCCACGGUAAUACGAAGGGGGCUAGCGUUGUUCGGAUUAACUGGGCGUAAAGGGCGCGUAGGCGGGUUUUUAAGUCAGAGGUGAAAUCCCAAGGCUCAACCUUGGAACUGCCUUUGAUACUGGAAGUCUUGAGUCCGGGAGAGGUGAGUGGAACUGCGAGUGUAGAGGUGAAAUUCGUAGAUAUUCGCAAGAACACCAGUGGCGAAGGCGGCUCACUGGCCCGGUACUGACGCUGAGGCGCGAAAGCGUGGGGAGCAAACAGGAUUAGAUACCCCUGUAGUCCCUGUCUCUUAUUA